rnacentral:tRNA from 3 species
GCGAGCGUAGCUCAGUUGGUAGAGCAUCACGUUGCCAACGUGAAUGUCGAGGGUUCGAAUCCCUUCGCUCGCUCCA